rnacentral:rRNA from 1 species
UACGGGGGGAGCAAGCGUUGUCCGGAUUUAUUGGGCGUAAAGAGCGUGUAGGCGGCUUGGUAGGUCCGCUGUGAAAACUCGAGGCUCAACCUCGAGAUGUCGGCGGAAACCACUUGGCUAGAGUCCGGAAGAGGAGAGUGGAAUUCCUGGUGUAGCGGUGAAAUGCGCAGAUAUCAGGAAGAACACCCGUGGCGAAGGCGGCUCUCUGGGACGGUACUGACGCUGAGACGCGAAAGCGUGGGGAGGCGAACAGG